AGAUGUGAGAGCUACCUGGCUGAGGCUCCUAUAACUCUUUGGGUUACCAGGGUUGACUCAGAUGAUCUGGCUGGCUGAUGGGGUCCCCUUUGCUUUACAUUCCAUGAAGUCGUACAUCUUCUCAGAGAGAAACACCAGACAGAGAAAAACCUUCAUAUGAACAAGGGAAUACAAAUCCUGUGCCUUCCCCAAACCCCCAAACAAGCUCAGAUCCAUCUGUGGUUUAUAUCAAUUAGGGCAAGCAUAUUUACAAAGUCUCUUAAUACUCUUGGCAUCUGAUGGGUAAGUAAGACACUGUUUUUAAGA
rnacentral:snRNA from 1 species